ensembl:lncRNA
GUUUACCCACUCAUGCCCUGGAGAGCCCUGCCCCCAGCUCCACACCCGCAGUCACACUGAACCACAAGAACUGGCUUCUAGGCCCUUAAGCCACUCCCACUCUCCCCUGGACAGAUCCUUCUCAAACCAUGAGGCCCAGAGUAGCCUUAACAGAUGGUCCCAGCAGAACUGGUCACUGCAUUUUCUUACUGGCAAGUGAGUCAACAGUUACCUAAGUAGAGCAACCAAACAGGAUGUUUUUCCACUUAAAAGGUCUCAUUUUUGUCCAUUUAGAAUUGAUUGUGUGUGUGUGUGUGUGUGGUGGCAGGGGUUCUUGUUCUGUCACUCAGGCACAGUGUACCAUGAGUAGAGUGGUGCUGUCAUGAUUCACUGCAGCCUCAACUUCCCAGGCUUGGGUGAUCCUCCAGCCGCAGCCUCCUGACUAUCUGGGACCACAGGUGCACACCACCACUAUCUACUUUUUUGUAGAGUCAGGGUCUUGCUAUGUUGCCCAGGCUGGUCUCAAACUCCUGGGCUCAAAACUGAAUCUACUCACCUCAGCCUCCCAAGGUGCUGGGAUUACAGGUGUGAGCCACUAUGCCCAGCCUAGAAUUGAUAUUUCUUAAACUCUUACUGAGUUUAACACAUGAAUUCCACUUACAUAGAUAUCGGCACACUCUCACAGCUCAAGGAUUUUUCUGAAUCUCGAUUCUGUCCAUUCAAGGUCAAUAUCUAAAGAAAGGGCCAGAACUGACCCUCCCUCAAUGAACUCUAAGGGCAAAUGUCAGGGUAUGAGGAGACAAAGAAAGAAGGGUGGAAAGUACACGUUGAAAUUCCGGUGUUAGAAUCAUAAUCAUCAACACUUUAAGAGACAACCUGCUUUCCAAAACAUGUAGCUGCUGGAUUAACUUCAAAGUCACCAGAUUCCACAGGCAGGCGCUCAGAGAGGCACAGCUUUCUAAGGCCGCCCACCCUGGAACAGCGUAACAGCCUCGGGGUAAAUAAACAAAGGCUUGUUUCUCUCAAGGACAAAGGUGCUCAAGUCCUUCCAAAUAGUUUCUUCUUCUAAAUCAGUUAGACGGCCUCGUACAACACUGUUUAGAGUGCCAGUGUGCUCAGAAGUGUGAAGUGAAAGUACAUCUCAGGACCCCGAAAUCACUAAGCUAAAGGGAAGACAAGGUGGGGAACGGCUUAGGGCAAACUUGCCUCCCAGGCUCCUAACAGAGACUGGAAGAAAAAAGAAAGAAAAAAAAGGCAUGUACCUCCCUCACAACCGUUGGUCCACAAGGAAAUUCCUCAGGGACAGAGGGCAGAACUCAAAGUCACCAUCUGCUCACAGAGAUAAAUGCGGGUCUUACUGCUUUCUCCGGAAAGGCUCACCGGAAACGCAUCUGUCUCUGAUCCACCUGUGACCUGGAAACCUGGACCAAACCAACGUACAUCUCACAUAUAUUGAUGUCUCACAUCUCCCUAAAAUGUGUUAGACCAAGUUGUGCCCCAAACACCUUGGGCACAUGUCCAGGACCUGAGACUAUCACGGUGCGUCCUCAACCCCUCCUGAGGCUGUGUCCCGGCUGUAUCCUCAACCCCUCCUGAGACUGUCACAGUGCGUCCUCAACCCCUCCUGAGACUGUCACAUGCGUCCUCAACCCCUCCUGAGGCUGUGUCCCGGGUGUAUCCUCAACCCCUCCUGAGACUGUCACGGUGCGUCCUCAACCCCUCCUGAGGCUGUUUUUAACCUUGGGAAAAUGAACUCACUGAAUGGGCCAAGAAUUACCUCAGAGAGGCUUCUGGUUUACAGGAAGCAUUCUCUCCUGCAGGUAUAAUGCAAUCAUGUGGAAUUACAAAAUGCAACUUUAGUAAAGGCUGAAGGAAUUAGGGUUUGAUGUGAUUUACCAAAAAAAAAAAAAAAAAAAAGGAACGUUCUAUUUAUCAAUGGACCAUGAAAGCCCACACCCCCCUCUGCAGUGAUGAUGUCAACUGGAAUGAGGGGCCCCCUCCUGUGGAUGCAGCAAAGGCUACCCUCUGACCCCACUUCCCAGAGUCCAGGCUUCCUGCUGCUCAGGGAACAGCAACCCCAGCUUCACAGGGCUCAGGCCGCCAAAGCCAACUUCCAUCCAUGCUGGAGAAUCACCCCAGGGACCAGCGAAAUGGCAGGCACAACUCUCACCUCAUCCCCUUAAAGGGGAAAAGGCAACUUCCCGCUCUUCUUCCUGCUGGUGGGAACAGGGGCAGGAGUUGCAGGGUCAGGAGUCGGGCAGCAGCCUGGGUCCCUGCUAGUCACAGAUGGCAAAUGCCAACCAGCCCCGACCUUCACUUUGCAGAGAAGAAAUCCUUCUCUUUUGUCAGGUCCCUGUUAGAAGUUUGCACCCAUUCCUUUAAAAAAAAAAAAAAA